UCGGUGGGAAGGGGAGUGUGGACAAGGGGCUGCCCUGUCCCAGGGGCUGGUUGGUGUGUGGAGGGCCAGGACAGGUAGGUAAGAGAGGGUGGGGUCCCAUUUUGAAAAUCCUGAGCACCAGCCCACCGGGUGGAAGAGGAUUUGAAGCUGAUUCACCGAGUUACCCCAAGUGCAUCUGUGAGCCGGAACCAGCUCUAAGCCGGGCCUUGGACGUCGGCUCACUCCCAGCCAGGCCCCCUGGUCCCUCGCUUACAAAGGAGGCCGCUGUAGCAUGAAAGCAUUGGCGCCGGUCUGACUCUGCGCAGCACCCUCACCUGAGGAUCUGCGAUUCCCAGGGGCACCCCAGCCCCUGAAUCGAAUCUCUGAGGUCUGGGAACGGCAAUUGUAGAAGCUUCCAGGGAGCUCUGACCCCGCUGGUCCCUGGAAGCACGACACUGCGGAGCAGGCCCCUGUGCGCUGGCCGCUCCACAGCAUCGCCGGUGGUUAGGACUUGCUGUCGGGGUGGAGACGGAGGGAGAGCCUGGGGAGAGAGCAGCGUGGGAAAGAGGGUUGUGCAGGGCAGUGGCUCUGCCGGGGCAGGACGCACAACACCCUGGAGGGCUUGUGGGGCAGCGGUCUGGCAGGGCCUGGCUCGUGCAUCCUCUCUCCCGGGGCUGCUGCUGCUGCUGGCUCAGGGCCCACUGCAGGGCCCGCCAGUGAUGGAGCCAUGACCUCAGAAUGUGUGGGCUUGACGUUACAUUACAGGGAAGUUUGAAAAAGUCCCUUAUCAUUUCCAAGGAUGACCUAAUUAUGGUGCCUUUCCCUUUCUUACAUCUCCUGUCCCCUAGGGUCAGCUCAGCAUUAACCGAACAGCUCAGUGUGUGUGUGGGCAGAGGCUCCUCGCUCUAAGCCAGGACUGCUGCUGACAAGUGUGAGCGGUGGAGAUAAGGGUGAGGGUCACCUCCUCUGCCCUGCUCGUAACUGCCCUCCGUGGAGCUGGUGUUGCCGCCACUGGCAUGCAGGGAGGCAGUGCUUCCUCACAGCCUCUCAGCCGGAGGCCCUUGCCCAGGGUUCCUGGACCCAGCAGCACCAGCCCCCAGGCCCGGGCCCCUGGAGGCCUUUGGCCCAGCCUCCAGGUGGCCUGGCUGUAGCUGAGCUGGUGUCACGCAUGGGUUCCUGUCACAUGCCUCGUAUGUAGUCCUGUUUUCCUAUAAGGGCUGCCGGCUUCAGUAACUGGGAGGCAGGCGCCCAAUAAAUAGCUGUGGCCGGUGGACAGCUGCCAAGUGAACACGUGGUGCUGGAGGUUUGAGGGUGCCUCUCUUGAUGGCGUGAAGAACUUAUUUAGGCUUGGCUGUUUUAAACACCAUGAUGAAUGUAUAAUUUAUGUUAAAGUGUUACCUUGGUUACCAGGGGAAAGGGACUUUCGGAUUGGUUGCCUUUAUCCCAUCCACUCCCUCCCGUUGCCAGUCUUUACCCCUGCUGUGAGCGCAGAGCCUUUACAUGUCUAUUUAAUUUCCUAAGUUAGUGACCACAAUCCCAAGAAUUAGGUCUUCAAAAUUUAAACUCCAACCUUUGAGUCCAGUUCUGUACUCGGCUAUUCGGAAUCCUCUGGAUGCAGCGUUCCAAGAAUGCGUUAAAGCCGACCUGACCGUUUCUACUGCCCUUUACUUAUUAAACAAGUUGAGAACAAA